CAGUUAGGGGAAUGAUGUAUUAUCGGCGGGCUUUGAAGCUUCAGGCUUUUCUUGACAUGGCUUCCGAAAGUGGUAAGUG